rnacentral:rRNA from 1 species
GACGAACGCUGGCGGCGUGCCUAAUACAUGCAAGUAGAACGCACAGUUUAUACCGUAGCUUGCUACACCAUAGACUGUGAGUUGCGAACGGGUGAGUAACGCGUAGGUAACCUGCCUGGUAGCGGGGGAUAACUAUUGGAAACGAUAGCUAAUACCGCAUAAUAUUGAUUAUUGCAUGAUAAUUGAUUGAAAGAUGCUAUUGCAUCACUACCAGAUGGACCUGCGUUGUACUAGCUAGUAGGUGAGGUAACGGCUCACCUAGGCGACGAUACAUAGCCGACCUGAGAGGGUGAUCGGCCACACUGGGACUGAGGCACGGCCCAGACUCCUACGGGAGGCAGCAGUAGGGAAUCUUCGGCAAUGGACGAAAGUCUGACCGAGCAACGCCGCGUGAGUGAAGAAGGUUUUCGGAUCGUAAAGCUCUGUUGUAAGAGAAGAACGGGUGUGAGAGUGGAAAGUUCACACUGUGACGGUAUCUUACCAGAAAGGGACGGCUAACUACGUG